GUAGGAGGCGAGCGUUAUCCGGAUUUACUGGGCGUAAAGCGCGUGCAGGUGGUACGGUUAGUUGGAUGUGAAAGCUCCUGGCUAAACUGGGAGAGGUCGUUCAAUACUGCCGAACUAGAGGAUGGGAGAGGAAGGUGGAAUUCCGAGUGUAGUGGUGAAAUGCGUAGAUAUUCGGAGGAACACCAGUGGCGAAAGCGGCCUUCUGGCCCAUUUCUGACACUAAGACGCGAAAGCUAGGGGAGCGAACGGGAUUAGAGACCCCGGUAGUCCUAGCUGUAAACGAUGCAGACUUGACGUCGGUGGGUUUAAAUCCAUCGGUGUCGAAGCUAACGCGAUAAGUCUGCCGCCUGGGGACUACGGCCGCAAGGCUA
rnacentral:rRNA from 1 species